rnacentral:lncRNA from 1 species
CCCGCCGCAGGUCCCAGGCAGAGACUCUCCUCCCCUCCUCCUCCUCUGUCGCCCUAAAAAACCAGAAGACAGAGCAGAUGAGGUGUUGGUUCCACAUGGUGGGAGACGUUUCAUCAAGUGACUCUGAAGAUAGUAUUUAAAGUGGUGACCUCAGCCAUUCUGGACAAUCAGGGAAAUAGGAAUACUGACUGGAGAGCUGAUGCUAUCAAGGACUUACUGGCAAUUAGUUACACACGAUCAUGAUUCUGGUUUUUUUAAGAUAAAAAUUAUCAUCAUCAAAGUUUCUUCAAACACAAAAAAAUCCCGCCUCUAUUCAAGUUCUUCAGUACAGAACGACAGCUCUUCCUCAGCGGGGUCCCACAGUGCUUCGUGCAAUUUGAUGAUGGCAUUUACUUGGCCCUAUUAUGUUCAUGCACUGCACGUGUCUGACUUCUCUAUUAACUCCAGGAAGGCAGAAGUUACAUCUUCCCAUUCCUGAGUCCCUGGGCUCCGGAGUGGACUACUCAUAGACUACUCUGAAAAAGAAAAAUAAAUAAGGGGCCACUGCUCUUCCAGAUAUCAAGCUAUGUUACUUGAGCAAUGUGUUCUAGACGGGAAGAUAAACAAAUAUAUCAACUGAAGAGGGUCAGUGGCCUUGCA